UCUUACUGCGUGUGAAACCUUCUCUUCCUGCGAAAUCUGCAACUUCUGCUUUUGCAUUUCCUGCCAGAGGAAAAACACGUAACCGCUUCUCCAUAGCACGGUGCUGUUCAACUCUCGAAUCCGGAUGAUGCGCCCUGACACACUGCAAACAUUGUUCAGGAACGGUCUGAGGAACAUGACGAAGAGUUCAAGGUGUUGACUCCGAUCUCAGUCCGAUCAGGCCUCUGUGGGACGAGUCCGAUCCAUGGAGGCCCCACCUCACAACCUACGGGACUAGUUGUACAGGAUCUGCUGCUAACGUCUCUAUGCCAGAUACCACAGCACACCUUCAGAGGUCUUGUGGAGUCCGUGCCUCGACGGUUCUCAACAGGUUUUUUCACUCUGUCCUCAUCGAUGCCGUGGAAGCUGGAUUUCAGGAAUACGUUGGAAGAAAUUCCAUUUCGUUUCAGAUUUCGAUCGCAGGUUUUUGUAUUUCGCAAUCUUUCUAAUGUAAUUCUCCUCGCCGAGCCGACCGUUCUGAUGUACGACAUGCCUGCAGCGGUUUGGUGAUUACACUCGGUUUAUGGCCUGUUGUGUCCUGCUACUGAUUUCUCGAUGUGUGUACGGGGGAAAUCCGAGCGAUUUGAGGUAUCAUCCGUGUCUGUGAGUCAGAUGUGGGGCAGUGGUGGCCUUGGUGGUUAACGCUCCAGGUUACUGAUCGGGAAGUCGGGGGUUCGAGCCCCAGCACUGCCAAGCUGC
ensembl:lncRNA